UACGAAGGGGGCUAGCGUUGCUCGGAAUCACUGGGCGUAAAGGGCGCGUAGGCGGUUUGACAAGUCUGAUGUGGAAAUCUCUGGGCUCAACCCAGAGUCUGCAUUAGAAACUGUCGGGCUUGAGUAUGGGAGAGGUGAGUGGAAUUUCCGGUGAUAGCGGUGAAAUGCGUAGAUAUCGGAAGGAACACCUGUGGCGAAAGCGGCUCACUGGACCAUAACUGACGCUGAGGCGGCGAAAGCUA
rnacentral:rRNA from 1 species